UACGUAGGUGGCGAGCGUUGUCCGGAUUUAUUGGGCGUAAAGCGCGCGCAGGCGGUGCGGUAAGUCCGCUGUGAAAUCUCCCGGCUCAACCGGGAGGGUGCGGUGGAGACUGCCGGACUAGAGGGACCGAGAGGCCGGUGGAAUUCCCGGUGUAGUGGUGAAAUGCGUAGAGAUCGGGAGGAACACCAGUGGCGAAGGCGGCCGGCUGGGGGUUACCUGACGCUGAGGCGCGAAAGCGUGGGGAGCGAACCGG
rnacentral:rRNA from 1 species